CUGAGCCUCGGAAAUGGGGAGGGGGCAAGAGUCAGAUAAACCAGAGGAUCCCAGAGGGAAGGGAGGGGCAGGACUAAGAGCGGACCGGAGGGAAAGGCAGAAAGCUCAAAGUGGCAUCGGGAUGGUUGUCCCGGGAGAUGGAGAACAGAGGCUCUGCGAAGUUAAAGAGAUUUGCCCCAAGUCACGAAAUCAUUCUCACCAGACACCAGUUCAAAGUUCUCGCCACUGCAGGCUGGGACCCAGCCUUGUCCACCCAGCUCUGGCUGAAUGAAAGCUUGUGUCUCUAGAGUAACAGGACAGUGGAUGGGAGUCACCUGAAGAGGGAGGAAUGGAGUCUGAAGAAGGACUGUCGGAGACAGCACCACUCCUGGGAAGAACAAACCACCAGCAAGGACGACAUGUCAGUAUUUAUCAAGUAUGGAUGGUGACAAAGGCUCCAGGAGGAAGAAUUGUUACUGAGGCCACACACUGCUAAAUGGCAGAGCCUCAGGGAUUAUGAACAUGUGCCGCCACAGCCAUCUAAGACAAUGAUGGUGAUGCUUCCCCCUUCUCUUCUUUUUGAGACAGUCUUAACAUAUAGCCCCAGCUGGACAGAAACUCAGUAUGUAGACUGGGCUGGAUUUGAAUCCAUAGAGAUCUGCCUGCUUCUGUCUUCUUAGAGCUUGAA